AUGGACCAGUGGGUGGGGAAGGGGCGCCUUUGGACUACAGCUGCACAUCAGGCGCGGGCGCGAGCCAGGGACCCCCAAGCCCACCGCACAGGACAUAAAGUGAAACCUGGGGAUUCACCCCAAGUCCCCAGGCCACGAGGCAGCCUGGGUCCCCGCGUGGGCGCCGACGGGGCGGGCCCACAGGCACCCCUCCCACAGUGGGGGGGAGAAGGGGGCGGGGACGCGCCGCUGUCGCGAAGGGCGGAGACAGACCUGCCUCGUCUCGUCCCAGGCUCCGCGCGCGAUCCCCGCCCCCGGGCCACGGGAAGGAAAGGGAAGGGAGGAGGGGUGGCGGCCGGACGCUGGGGUUUCCCCAGCCUCCCCGGAGGAACUGCAACUCCGGGGUCCGCAGUGCCGGCCUUCAGCCCUGCGGGGUCCUCCUUCCUCUUCGGGAAAAGCGAGCUCCUCCCCGCCGCGCGUGGCACCCAUGUGGGGCAGCCUCACCCCCACCUGCUCACUUUUUUCACCUGGGCCUCGCACGGGCGCCCCCGCCCAGACCUCCCCCCAACCGCUCCACUCCUCGUCCGGCCCGUCCCAUCCCACAGCGAGCGGGUUUCGCGGCUCAGCGCCCAGAGCACCGCCACCUCCCCUCUGCCCCAUCCCAACACACCUUUCCCACGCCCCUCCCCUCUCCGGAAGCCCCUUCCCCGACCCAGGAGUCCUGGUUCCUGGGAUUCCCUGCUCUGUGCCUUCACUCCGGCUGCAAGCACGCGCGACCCUCUGCACACACCCUGGGCUCGCGCUCCGGGUCUCCGCUCCUCUCCCGUCAGCCUCCUCCUCCCACCGCCGGCCUCGCGUCCCAUGCCCGCACCCAUCACGCAGACCACCGCCUCUUUGCCACGAUCCCUGCAGUCCCGCGUGUCCUGUGCGCCCUGGAAGCAGGUCCACGCUCCUGGCACUUUGCUGCUGUUCGCUUUUGCUCCUUCCGUCUUUCUGUUUCGUGACCCCCAAUUCUGCCCAGCUUUCUCAUUGGCUCCCUUUCCCACAGACAGGGGCUCAGUCUCUCCCCGCAGAGCACCCCUCUCUGCAGCUCCCACCACGCGACCCCCGCAUUCCACGGGCCCUGCGGAGGGAACGGCUUCUACCCCAUUGCCUGUGUCCCCCGGGACCUCCCUCGACCCCGCGGGUCCCGUGCACUUGGCGCACUGUUCCAGGACCAGUCCCUGA
rnacentral:lncRNA from 1 species